GACGAACGCUGGCGGCGUGCUUAACACAUGCAAGUCGAACGGUAAGGCCCUUCGGGGUACACGAGUGGCGAACGGGUGAGUAACACGUGGGUGAUCUGCCCUGCACUUCGGGAUAAGCCCGGGAAACUGGGUCUAAUACCGGAUAGGACCACUGCCUGCAUGGGUGGUGGUGGAAAGCUUUUGCGGUGUGGGAUGGGCCCGCGGCCUAUCAGCUUGUUGGUGGGGUGAUGGCGUACCAAGGCGACGACGGGUAGCCGGCCUGAGAGGGUGACCGGCCACACUGGGACUGAGAUACGGCCCAGACUCCUACGGGAGGCAGCAGUGGGGAAUAUUGCACAAUGGGCGCAAGCCUGAUGCAGCGACGCCGCGUGAGGGAUGACGGCCUUCGGGUUGUAAACCUCUUUCAGCACCGACGAAGCGCAAGUGACGGUAGGUGCAGAAGAAGGACCGGCCAACUACGUGCCAGCAGCCGCCGUAA
rnacentral:rRNA from 1 species